CACGUAGGGGCCAAGCGUUGUCCGGAUUAUUGGGCGUAAAGAGCUCGUAGGCGGUUGGGUAAGUCGGGUGUGAAAACUCCAGGCUCAACUUGGAGACGCCACCCGAUACUGCUCUGACUUGAGUUCGGUAGGGGAGUGGGGAAUUCCUGGUGUAGCGGUGAAAUGCGCAGAUAUCAGGAGGAACACCGGUGGCGAAGGCGCCACUCUGGGCCGAAACUGACGCUGAGGAGCGAAAGCGUGGGGAGCGAACAGG
rnacentral:rRNA from 1 species